rnacentral:rRNA from 1 species
AGCGAACGCUGGCGGCAGGCCUAACACAUGCAAGUCGAACGAAGUCUGCGGACUUAGUGGCGGACGGGUGAGUAACACGUGGGAACGUGCCGUUAGGGUCGGAAUAACUCAGGGAAACUUGUGCUAAUACCGAAUGUGCCCUUCGGGGGAAUGAUUUAUCGCCUUUAGAGCGGCCCGCGUCUGAUUAGCUAGUUGGUGAGGUAAAGGCUCACCAAGGCGACGAUCAGUAGCUGGUCUGAGAGGAUGAUCAGCCACAUUGGGACCGAGACACGGCCCAAACUCCUACGGGAGGCAGCAGUGGGGAAUCUUGCGCAAUGGGCGAAAGCCUGACGCAGCCAUGCCGCGUGAAUGAUGAAGGUCUUAGGAUUGUAAAAUUCUUUCACCGGGGACGAUAAUGACGGUACCCGGAGAAGAAGCCCCGGCUAACUUCGUGCCAGCAGCCGCCGCCG